UGGGGAAUAUUGGACAAUGGGCGAAAGCCUGAUCCAGCCAUGCCGCGUGUGUGAAGAAGGUCUUCGGAUUGUAAAGCACUUUAAGUUGGGAGGAAGGGCAGUCAGCGAAUACCUUGCUGUCUUGACGUUACCGACAGAAUAAGCACCGGCUAACUCUGUGCCAGCAGCCGCGGUAAUACGGAGGGUGCAAGCGUUAUCCGGAUUUACUGGGUUUAAAGGGUGCGUAGGUGGGUCUGUAAGUCAGUGGUGAAAUCCCCAAGCUUAACUUGGGAACUGCCGUGGAUACUAUCAAUCUUGAAUAUCGUGGAGGUAAGCGGAAUAUGUCAUGUAGCGGUGAAAUGCUUAGAUAUGACAUAGAACACCAAUUGCGUAGGCAGCUUACUACACGAUCAUUGACGCUGAGGCACGAAAGCGUGGGGGAGCAAACAGGAUUAGAUACCC
rnacentral:rRNA from 1 species